CAUUUGGAAUGUUCCCUAGAGGCCCGUGUGUUGAAGACUUGGUGCCAGCUUGCUGUUAACUGGGAGGUGAUGGAGCCUUUUAGGAGCUACCGAAACACACUGGCCACAUUCCAGGUGUUCAGUAGCCACACAGGGCUCUGGCACCACUUUUGAGAGUACAGAGAGAAAGGAGGAAACUUCACAUCAGGGCAGCACAGUCCAGUCGUGGAUGUGGAUCUAAAACAAAGGCUAAAAGUGUGAGGAUCUUGCCAGAUGCUGACACCAUUCUCUGGAGCUUCCCAAGCCAAAUAAACCUCGGUUCUCUACACAC